rnacentral:rRNA from 2 species
GGAUGUUAGCGGCGGACGGGUGAGUAACACGUGGGUAACCUGCCUGUAAGACUGGGAUAACUCCGGGAAACCGGAGCUAAUACCGGAUAGUUCCUUGAACCGCAUGGUUCAAGGAUGAAAGACGGUUUCGGCUGUCACUUACAGAUGGACCCGCGGCGCAUUAGCUAGUUGGUGAGGUAACGGCUCACCAAGGCGACGAUGCGUAGCCGACCUGAGAGGGUGAUCGGCCACACUGGGACUGAGACMCGGGCCCAGACUCCUACGGGAGGCAGCAGUAGGGAAUCUUCCGCAAUGGACGAAAGUCUGACGGAGCAACGCCGCGUGAGUGAUGAAGGUUUUCGGAUCGUAAAGCUCUGUUGUUAGGGAAGAACAAGUGCAAGAGUAACUGCUUGCACCUUGACGGUACCUAACCAGAAAGCCACGGCUAACUACGUGCCAGCAGCCGCGGUAAUACGUAGGUGGCAAGCGUUGUCCGGAAUUAUUGGGCGUAAAGGGCUCGCAGGCGGUUUCUUAAGUCUGAUGUGAAAGCCCCCGGCUCAACCGGGGAGGGUCAUUGGAAACUGGGAAACUUGAGUGCAGAAGAGGAGAGUGGAAUUCCACGUGUAGCGGUGAAAUGCGUAGAGAUGUGGAGGAACACCAGUGGCGAAGGCGACUCUCUGGUCUGUAACUGACGCUGAGGAGCGAAAGCGUGGGGAGCGAACAGGAUUAGAUACCCUGGUAGUCCACGCCGUAAACGAUGAGUGCUAAGUGUUAGGGGGUUUCCGCCCCUUAGUGCUGCAGCUAACGCAUUAAAGCACUCCGCCCUGGGGGAGUACGGGUCGCAAGACUGAAACUCAAAGGAAUUGACGGGGGCCCGCACAAGCGGUGGAGCAUGUGGUUUAAUUCGAAGCAACGCGAAGAACCUUACCAGGUCUUGACAUCCUCUGACAACCCUAGAGAUAGGGCUUUCCCUUCGGGGACAGAGUGACAGGUGGUGCAUGGUUGUCGUCAGCUCGUGUCGUGAGAUGUUGGGUUAAGUCCCGCAACGAGCGCAACCCUUGAUCUUAGUUGCCAGCAUUCAGUUGGGCACUCUAAGGUGACUGCCGGUGACAAACCGGAGGAAGGUGGGGAUGACGUCAAAUCAUCAUGCCCCUUAUGACCUGGGCUACACACGUGCUACAAUGGACAGAACAAAGGGCUGCGAGACCGCAAGGUUUAGCCAAUCCCACAAAUCUGUUCUCAGUUCGGAUCGCAGUCUGCAACUCGACUGCGUGAAGCUGGAAUCGCUAGUAAUCGC